rnacentral:rRNA from 1 species
GACAGAGGGUGCAAACGUUGCUCGGAAUCACUGGGCGUAAAGGGCGUGUAGGCGGGUAGAUAAGUCGGGCGUGAAAUCCCUAGGCUCAACCUAGGAACUGCACUCGAAACUGUUUAUCUUGAGUGCCGGAGAGGAAAGCGGAAUUCCUGGUGUAGAGGUGAAAUUCGUAGAUAUCAGGAGGAACACCGGUGGCGAAGGCGG